AUCAGGUAGAUACCACCUGAAUGCGCCUGAUCUUGUCUGAUCUCGGAAGCUAAGCAGGGUCAGCCGGGUUAGUACUUGAAUGGGAGAUAAAGACCAUCUAUUCUGAUU
rnacentral:rRNA from 1 species